rnacentral:sRNA from 1 species
ACUGGGAACCAGCACAGACGUUGAGGAAACUCUACGCCUGUGCAUGUAUGUUCAGGGUAAGCAAAGAAUG